CGCCGCAUCAUCUACGAUCAACCAACUUUGAUCCGUUGCUCGUUUGCACGCGUAACCAAGCUUUGUUUGCUCAAGGGUCUUUAUAUAGAAUCAGCAGCUUCUCCUCCGCAUUUUGGUGGAUCUGCUACUUCUUCUUCUUCGUCGUCUUCGCCCUCGAUCGGAUUAGGGUUUAAGGCUUCGUGCGAAGGUGGAGCGAUCCGAGAUCGAGCUCUUCCGACCCGGAUUUGUGAGAUUUGAUCUCUGCUCCACCCCGUAGUUCUGUGAUUUCGUCUAAUUUGGAGCUCGAAUGAUUGUGUUGGAGUGUCGAUUCUUACUGUUGAUCUGAUUUUUGUGAUUUCGAUGUUAAUUUCUUUUUUUCUCCAUGGGGCUUUGAUCUAGUAUGGGGCAUGGAGUGAGGUGUUGUUGAUGUGUGAAAUUUGUGAUGCCUUAAUAGGGAUUCUCUCUUUUGUUUAGAGGUGAAUCUCUACAUUGGGUUGUUACUGAGUGUGAAUGGAAAUGGAAAUUUUCAUGAAAUAUGCAUUAAA